rnacentral:rRNA from 1 species
GACGUAGGGUGCAAGCGUUGUUCGGAAUUAUUGGGCGUAAAGAGCUUGUAGGCGGUUUGUCGCGUCUGCUGUGAAAAUCCGGGGCUCAACCCCGGACUUGCAGUGGGUACGGGCAGACUAGAGUGUGGUAGGGGAGACUGGAAUUCCUGGUGUAGCGGUGAAAUGCGCAGAUAUCAGGAGGAACACCGAUGGCGAAGGCAGGUCUCUGGGCCACUACUGACGCUGAGAAGCGAAAGCAUGGGGAGCGAACAGG